UUUAAUUGAAGAGUUUGAUCAUGGCUCAGAUUGAACGCUGGCGGCAGGCUUAACACAUGCAAGUCGAGCGGUAGCACAGGGGAGCUUGCUCCCCGGGUGACGAGCGGCGGACGGGUGAGUAAUGUCUGGGAAACUGCCUGAUGGAGGGGGAUAACUACUGGAAACGGUAGCUAAUACCGCAUAACGUCGCAAGACCAAAGAGGGGGACCUUCGGGCCUCUUGCCAUCAGAUGUGCCCAGAUGGGAUUAGCUAGUAGGUGGGGUAAUGGCUCACCUAGGCGACGAUCCCUAGCUGGUCUGAGAGGAUGACCAGCCACACUGGAACUGAGACACGGUCCAGACUCCUACGGGAGGCAGCAGUGGGGAAUAUUGCACAAUGGGCGCAAGCCUGAUGCAGCCAUGCCGCGUGUGUGAAGAAGGCCUUCGGGUUGUAAAGCACUUUCAGCGAGGAGGAAGGUGGUGAACUUAAUACG
rnacentral:rRNA from 1 species